UACAGGGAUGAGUAUGCAAUUGUUUCUCAGCAUUGGUGAUCUAUCACAAAUGAAAAUAAGAUCUGUGUUCUGAGGAGUUCAUAUUUGCCUCCAUACUGGUUCCAAAGGCUGCUCAAGUUGAGUCUUUGAAUAUGGUUCAAUGGUUCUUUAUUGUCACGUAUGCACAGCACAGAGGAAAUUUGCCAUAUUUUGUCACCAAAGAGAGUGUUGCCCAAUGUGGGGUUCAAACCCAUGACCCUGAGAUUAAGAGUCCCCUGCUCUACUGACUGAGCUAGCUGGGCUAUGUCAUAAGUAGAUGGAUACAUUAGGGCUAAGGAGGUGAAUGGUUAAUGGGGAUAUAUGGGAAUGUGGAGAUGAGGUUACAAUCAGAACAGCCAUGAUCUAAUUAAAUAUUUUGG